GCGUCGGAGGUGCAAAGGUCAAAAUGGUUGCCUUCCAAGCUGCCGAUCCGGGUUCGAUUACCGGCCGACGCA
rnacentral:tRNA from 1 species